rnacentral:rRNA from 1 species
UGGGGAAUAUUGGACAAUGGGCGAAAGCCUGAUCCAGCAAUGCCGCGUGUGUGAAGAAGGUCUUCGGAUUGUAAAGCACUUUCGACGGGGACGAUGAUGACGGUACCCGUAGAAGAAGCCCCGGCUAACUUCGUACACG